rnacentral:rRNA from 1 species
AAUGAACGCUGGCGGCGUGCCUAAUACAUGCAAGUCGAGCGAACGGACCAGGAGCUUGCUUCUCUGAUGGUAGCGGCGGACGGGAGAUUAACACGUGGAUAAACUAACUAUAAGACUGGGAUAACAUCGGGAAACCGGGGCUAAGACCGGAUAAUAUUUUGAACCGCAUUGUGCACAAGUGAAAGAAGGUCGUGCGGACACUUAUAGAUGAAUCAGCGCUGCAUUAACUAGUUGGUAAGGUAACGGCUUACCAAGGCAACGAUGCAUAGCCGACCUGAGAGGGUGAUCGGCUACACUGGAACUGAGACACGGUCCAGACUCCUACGCGAGGCAGCAGCAGGGAAUCUUCCGCAAUGGGCGAAAGCCUGACGGUGCAACGUCGCGUGAGUGAUGAAGGUCUUCGGACCCUAAAACUCUGUUAUCAGGGAAGAACAUAUGUGUAAUUAACUGUGCACAUCUUGACGGUACCUAAUCAGAAAGCCCCGGCUAACUCCGUG